GACGAACGCUGGCGGCGUGCCUAAUACAUGCAAGUAGAACGCUGAAGGAGGAGCUUGCUUCUCUGGAUGAGUUGCGAACGGGUGAGUAACGCGUAGGUAACCUGCCUGGUAGCGGGGGAUAACUAUUGGAAACGAUAGCUAAUACCGCAUAACAGUAGAUAUCGCAUGAUAUCUACUUGAAAGUUGCAAUUGCAUCACUACCAGAUGGACCUGCGUUGUAUUAGCUAGUUGGUGAGGUAACGGCUCACCAAGGCGACGAUACAUAGCCGACCUGAGAGGGUGAUCGGCCAAACUGGGACUGAGACACGGCCCAGACUCCUACGGGAGGCAGCAGGAGGGGAUCUUCGGAAAUGGACGGAAGGCUGACCGAGCAACGCCGCGGGAGGGAAGAAGGGUUUCGGAUCGGAAAGCUCUGUUGUAAGAGAAGAACGAGUGUGAGAGUGGAAAGUUCACACUGUGACGGUAUCUGACCAGAAAGGGACGGCUAACUACGUG
rnacentral:rRNA from 1 species